GACGAACGCUGGCGGCGUGCUUAACACAUGCAAGUCGAGCGGGAUCCAACCGGUGGCAACACCGGGGAAGAUCUAGCGGCGAACGGGUGAGUAACACGUGAGCAACCUGCCCCGAAGACUGGGAUAACACCGGGAAACCGGUGCUAAUACCGGAUGUCGUCAUUAGGCCGCAUGACCUGAUGAUGAAAGGAUUCAUCGCUUCGGGAGGGGCUCGCGGGCUAUCAGCUUGNGGUGGGGUAACGGCCUACCAAGGCGACGACGGCUAGCUGGUCUGAGAGGACGACCAGCCACACUGGGACUGAGACACGGCCCAGACUCCUACGGGAGGCAGCAGUGGGGAAUCUUGCGCAAUGGGCGAAAGCCUGACGCAGCGACGCCGCGUGAGGGAUGACGGCCUCGGUU
rnacentral:rRNA from 1 species